AGCGGGGUAGUGUAGUAGUAGCAUACGAGGCCCAUAACCUUGUGGCGGCCGUGCAAUUCGGCCCCCCGCAA
rnacentral:tRNA from 1 species